AGCAGCCGCGGUAAUUCCAGCUCCAAUAGCGUAUAUUAAAGUUGUUGCAGUUAAAAAGCUCGUAGUUGAAUUUCGGGAUCAAAGGAUCGGUCAUGCCUUGGUAUGUACUGGUUUUAUUGGUUCUUACCUUCUAAAGAACCAUAAUGUCAUUCAUUUGAUGUUAUGGGGAAUUAGGACUGUUACCUUGAAAAAAUUAGAGUGUUUAAAGCAGGCUUACGCUUGAAUACAUUAGCAUGGAAUAAUGAAAUAGGACAUCAGAUUCUAUUUUGUUGGUUUCUAGGAUCGAUAUAAUGAUUAAUAGGGAUAGUUGGGGGCAUUAGUAUUCAAUUGUCAGAGGUGAAAUUCUUGGAUUUAUUAAAGACUAACUACUGCGAAAGCAUUUGCCAAGGAUGUUUUCAUUAAUCAAGAACGAAAGUUAGGGGAUCGAAGACGAUCAGAUACCGUCGUAGUCUUAACCAUAAACUAUGCCGACUAGGGAUCGGAUGAUGUUAAUUUUUUAAUGACUCAUUCGGCGUCCG
rnacentral:rRNA from 1 species